rnacentral:rRNA from 1 species
AUUGAACGCUGGCGGCAUGCCUUACACAUGCAAGUCGAACGGUAGCGGGCCUUCGGGUGCCGACGAGUGGCGAACGGGUGAGUAACGCAUCGGAACGUACCUUUCAGUGGGGGAUAACGUAGCGAAAGUUACGCUAAUACCGCAUAUUCUGUGAGCAGGAAAGAAGGGGAUCGCAAGACCAUGCGCUGAUUGAGCGGCCGAUGUCAGAUUAGCUAGUUGGUGAGGUAAAGGCUCACCAAGGCGACGAUCUGUAGCGGGUCUGAGAGGAUGAUCCGCCACACUGGAACUGAGACACGGUCCAGACUCCUACGGGAGGCAGCAGUGGGGAAUUUUGGACAAUGGGGGCAACCCUGAUCCAGCCAUGCCGCGUGAGUGAAGAAGGCCUUCGGGUUGUAAAGCUCUUUCGGCCGGGAAGAAAUCGUAUGGGCUAAUACCCUGUGCGGAUGACGGUACCGGCAUAAGAAGCACCGGCUAACUACGUGCCAGCAGCCGCCGUAAGAC